CGUGCGUAAUAAUUCAAACCGCAUGAAAGGACAGUCCGCGUAUAACGAUUUCUUCGACUGCCAUGGAGCACCGACAUCGUCGUCAUCGUCGUGGUCGUGGUCGUCGUGGUUAUCGUUGUGUUUGAACAAAGACGCACGACAUCGUCCUACCGUUUGGUUAUCGCCUUUUAAUUUAUUGACGACGACGGGCCGCACAUAAAAAGCGAAGAAAAACGAGAAGAAGAGGAAAAGAAAGAGAAUGAGUGUGUGGCACGCAGAUGCUCGGCCAAUUGUGGGUCUUGCUCCCUACGUUUCAAAGAGGGACAGAAAUGUGUCAACGUGUCCAAGAUGAAAGAUGAACAUCCUAUGGAGAAUCUCAUUAGUAGGCCAACAUCAGACACUCCCAGGUGCUGGCAGUCCAGUUGUUGAGGGACUUCAGCUGGUCGCCUACGCUAACGUCUAUCGGCUAAUCUUUGCAUUCGUUCGCACAAAGGUCAUGACUAAUGACGGUUGUAUAGAAGCACAAUAGCCAGUCACCGGACCCAGGACUGCCCAGUCAUGGUCGUGACAUGGCGUCGGGAAGUAACCUCGCUAAUUUCACCAUCGCUCUUCGUUGUCGCUCAUGAAAGACCAAGGCGGCUCGCUUUUGUGAAUUUGACAUUCUCGAUGACUCCCAUACGGGGCAUACCUCCGGCACCAGAUUUCCUUCUCGAUUUUCUUUUACGGUGCCACGUUAUCGAUUUUGCAAUCAUGCUCCAUACGUAGUUAAAGGUUAAUUUCUACGCUCGUUAGCGAUUGCAGCGGAGGUAUCGUAAAUCAAUUUUCCAUCGAAGCGUCCGAUCGGAUGACGUUUAAAGUGAAAAAGCAUCGAGCUUUCGUAUAGUUUGCUAGCUUUUUCAGAAGUUUUCAAAAGGUCCGUACAUUUUGUAAAUUAACUUCGAACGAGAAGUGAAGAUGCAAGGAAAUAAAAUGAAAAAACGAUGUCGAAUAGAAAAGAGGCUUCUAGCAGGAAAGAAAGAAAAUAUACACGAGGAAAAAAGUAAAGAAAGUACGGGUAAAUGGGGUGGUAGUCGAAAAGCUAAGUAGCACAAUCUGCGAAACUGCAACUUGGCUAUAACAAAUACGCAAGGAAAUAAAUGUCUGUAUAAAAGAGUUGGCAAGUUCCCCGGAUAAUAUCAAGAUGUCGCCGGAUAUAUUCGUGAGGAGGUCGAGGAGAGACGGGGCUAGGUAUUUUAU